UCCGUCUUUGUUAGUUCACUCAGCUACAGAACCUAAUGGGAAAGAGGGAAGUUCUUUUUCCUUCCCUACAGAGGUCAAAAGGGGUCCAUUUUAGGAACCACUUGGCCAAAGACAGUAAGACUACAUAAUUUCCUUGGACAUCUUAACUCCUUCCUUUUGGAAAGCUAGAGACAGUCCCUAGUGGCCAAAACUGAGGCAUGGCCAUGGGAUGACAUUUUGGCAGCCUUCACCCAUGAACUUGGGUUUGGCACCCCCAGGGCAAGUAACCCAGAAGCAGAAUACACAAAGGGGCAGGAGUGGAUCUGCUGGUGUUUGGGAUGGCCUUUCAUAGCGAUAGGAAACAGUGGGGGCAACUGUGACCUCAACUGUCAUGAAUGAGUCAUUUCCCUGGAAGCCAAGGGAAACAGGCUAUGGGAGUGGUGUCUGUGACUGCAUUGUCUGGUGUGCAGUCAUUAAAGAAUGUUAGCCAGGUGCAGUGGUGCACGCCUUUAAUCCCAGCACUUUGGGAGGUGGAGGUGGGUGGAUCGCCUGAGGUCAGGAGUUUGAGACCAACCUAGCCAACAUUGUGAAACCCUGUCUCUACGAAAACUACAAAAAUUAGCCAGGUGUGGUGGCACGCAUGCCUGUAAUCCCAGCUACUUGGGAGGCUGAGGCAGGAGAAUCGCUUGAACCCGGGAGGCAGAGGUUGUAGUGAGCCGAGAUCACACCACUGCACUCCAGCCUGGGCGAUAGAGUGAGACUCCGUCUCAAAAAAAAAAAAAAGAAUGUCAACUGCUCCUGGCUCUGCAGAGGUAUGGCCCAGGUGACAGGGCUAUUGAGAGGCCAAAGGGACCCUGAUCAGCCAGUGGUGUCUUUGGAAUAGGUGCUGCAAGCUCUGGGAGGUGCUACUGCGCACCAGAAGGUUGGUGAGUUGGCCAAGGGUGUGGAGCUGGCUCCAGAGGGGAAGGAACAAAGGGAAGGGACCCUCUGGGAGCUGGAGAGACUUGGGAGCCUGGAGGCAGGAAUUCCCUGCCAUUGCCUGAGGCCUGGUUUGGAAAGUACAAUGCAGUUUUGGCAUGGUGGUUGCUGGCCUGGAAUGUGGUGGGGUGAAGAGCGUGGUGGAAGGACACACUGAGUUCCUGACCAUCCAGCAACAAAGGAGCAAAAAGACCUUGGAAUCCAUGAGAAGAAUUCUUAUGGCCAUGGAAUUGAUCAUGAAGAGGAACAAGGAGAGUCAUGAAAAGAUGAAAACUAUUCUGUUAAAUGCCUUUGUAAUCAAACUACUGGAUCUGAGAAAAAAAGUACCAACUGAAUUUCCAUGUAUUUAAAAUUUUUUGUGUGUGAAAACAUAUAGCAAUUGGAAAUCUGUCAAGGCAAGUAAAAAACUUUUCCCAAUGUUAAUGAAAUUUGACUCAUGAUAUUUAUCUACAAGACAUAAAAAUAUAGAUGGAUCCCAGAUACUCAGGAGGCUGAGGCAGCAGGAUCACUGGAGCCCAGGAGUUCGUACUGGUGGAGAAAAACAUUACUCACGUGGUGACAAAGUACCAGGCAGUUGUAAUGCACAGCCAGAGUUAAGAUUCCCUGCUCCUUAAAAGGGGUUCCCAGACUCGCAGCAUAUCGGCGUCACUGGCAGACCCACUGCGUCAGCAUGUGCAGCUGAACCAUGUCCCAGGUGAUCAGUGAUUCAUGGUGACUCGUCAUCCAAGAGCGUGUUCCUCUUGGCUUUCCCCACCUCCCUGCUUUAUGCUCUAAUCUCUGCCUGAACCAUCAUUUCUCAUGACUCCUGCGCUUCCUCCUUCCCAUGGGGUAAAGUCCACACUUUUAAUGUGGCCUCCAGCCCUUUGCAGUCUGUCCAGUCUCCCCUUCAGUCUCUUUUAACAUCACGUGAACCCUCCACUCCAGUCAAAACUCCCUGUAGUUUUUGGCCUCUCAGAUCCUGUGUCAUUCCUGCUUUUUUUCCCCCUUUGAAACCUGAGAUUAAACCCUGCUGGCUCUGGGAAGCCACUUCUAACUGCCAUGACACAGCACAAUAUCCCUUUCCUCCGGCACUUACUGUUUCACAAUUUGGUGAGCAUGGCAUGCUGCCUUAUACUGUGAUUUAAUCCUUUUUAAAGGUUGAGGUAUAAAAUAACAUAAACUGUGUAAACAGUCCUGA